rnacentral:rRNA from 1 species
ACACGACUACAUUAGAUACCCGGGUAGUCCUAGCCGUAAACGAUACUCGCUAGGUGUCGGCCGACGGUGCGACCGUUGUCGGUGCCGUAGGGAAGCCGUGAAGCGAGCCACCUGGGAAGUACGGCCGCAAGGCUGAAACUUAAAGGAAUUGGCGGGGGAGCACAACAACGGGUGGAGCUUGCGGUUUAAUUGGAUUCAACGCCGGAAAUCUUACCGGGACCGACAGCAACAUGAAGGCCAAGCUGAAGACUUUGCCGGAUUAGCUG